rnacentral:lncRNA from 1 species
CGGCACACUUAAACCGUCGGGUGGUCCAGGACGAGGAGAAGGCAUGGCGAUUGACGCUGGGCAGACUUGAGGGAAACCGCCCGGCGGUGGCGAUUGCCGCCGGGCGGUAGUGCGAUUUGUGGCAAACCGCCGGGCGGCACACUUAAACCACCCGGUGGUGGCUUGCUGGACUUGGACUCGUUUUCUGAUGCACUCCUCACCUAUAUAUACCCCUAUUGCGAGUUCAGAAUCAUUCUUUUGACAGGGGAGAACGACCAGUCCUAAUUUUGCUCUCUAGAGAGGAUCUCUUGGAUGCUUAGGCUCCUUUUCAUCUUUUCUAGGGUUUGCUCUUCCAUUCUUCUUCCAUUUUUCAUCUAGUUUCACCAUGUCUAUGGUGAACUAAACCCUAUUGUUGUUGGGAGAAACAAUGUAAUCUUUUGAUGCUCUCUUUUAUUGAAACUCUUGAUUAUUUAUAUGGUCUCCAUAUGUGUAUAUUGAUGUUUGUCUUUAUUGAUAUGGGGGCGUACAGUAAUGACAUGAACUGGUGAGUAAUCUCUUGAUUUUGCAAUACCACCUAGGGAUAGGGAUAGGACGAUCAAUUGCGCUAACUUCUGUUUAUAAUGCGGUAUUAAUUACUAGGGGAGGCUAGGGAUAACAAGCUAGUAGUUAAUAUUAGGCCCUUUUCGCCGAGGGAUCGGGUUAAGGGGAGACUAAGAAAGUCACAUAACAAUUGAAUCAAUCAAACUAAUAUUCGAGGGUAGUAUGUAAGAGAUAGCGAAAUAGAUGAAAUUGUAAACCCCCAACAACAUNCAUUCAUCCAUUGUUUUCGUUUGUCAAUUGAAUCAACAUUUAUUUUUGCAUGUUAAUAUUUUUGUUCUCAAAUCCAAUUUAUUAAUUUUUAUUUUUC